rnacentral:lncRNA from 1 species
CCAACCCAGACAGGAAGAUCACGUCAGUGACUCAACCCAGUCAAGUGACGCACCCCUGCUAGGGACGGCAUGGAAGAGCACCAGUAAGCCAGUGACUCAGCCCCUGUAAUAGGGUUAGAGGCAGAGAAUCCCAGUGGAGAGAGGGGAACCAGCCAGGCAGAGACAGCAAGGGCAGUUCGUUGCUCCAGAGCCUUUCCGUUCACCUUCACACUCCUGGGCCAGACUACACUCAAUCAUAGGACCUGCUGAAGAGAUGAGUCUUCAGUAAAGACUUAAAGGUUGAGACCGAGUCUGCGUCUCUCACAUGGGUCCUGGCAGAGUUGUGCAGACUCAGGACAACGGAGCUUUGGAGGAAUACGCAGAUUUAAAGAGGAGAAGCCAGCUGCACCAAUGUGUCGGAGGAAACACUGUACACCUAGCGACCGUGUUAGCGUGCACUGCGCCCGGCCCGCCACAGGAGUCGCUAGAGCGCAAUGGGACAAGGACAUCUCUGCUGGCCAAACCCUCCCCUAACUCGGACGAUGCUGAGCCAAUUGUGCGCCGCCCCAUGGGCUCUCCCGGUCACGGCCGGCUGCGACACUGCGAUGCAGUGCCUUAGACCUCUGCGCCACCCGGGAGGCCUACUUCUCCUGUUUUGAUAACCUACAACCUAAAGAAACAUUCUGGGAACCUUUAAAGAACAUAUUGCAUUUGUUCUGGGAACAUUAUUGUAACUUCAGGUGAAAGUUUGUUGCAUCCUA